GAUGAACGCUGGCGGCGUGCCUAAUACAUGCAAGUCGAGCGAACAGACGAGGAGCUUGCUCCUCUGACGUUAGCGGCGGACGGGUGAGUAACACGUGGAUAACCUACCUAUAAGACUGGGAUAACUUCGGGAAACCGGAGCUAAUACCGGAUAAUAUAUUGAACCGCAUGGUUCAAUAGUGAAAGACGGUUUUGCUGUCACUUAUAGAUGGAUCCGCGCCGCAUUAGCUGGUUGGUAAGGUAACGGCUAACCAAGGCAACGAUGCGUAGCCGACCUGAGAGGGUGAUCGGCCACACUGGAACUGAGACACGGUCCAGACUCCUACGGGAGGCAGCAGUAGGGAAUCUUCCGCAAUGGGCGAAAGCCUGACGGAGCAACGCCGCGUGAGUGAUGAAGGUCUUCGGAUCGUAAAACUCUGUUAUUAGGGAAGAACAAAUGUGUAAGUAACUAUGCACGUCUUGACGGUACCUAAUCAGAAAGCCACGGCUAACUACGUG
rnacentral:rRNA from 1 species